rnacentral:tRNA from 2 species
GGGCCUGUAGCUCAGCGGUUAGAGCAGCGGACUCAUAAUCCGUUGGUCGGGGGUUCGAAUCCCUCCGGGCCCA